AACCAGUCCAAGGAAUAUCUCACCAAUUUUAAAUUGGCUUAGCAGCUGAAGACUGAGGCUGCCCGAACACCUCAGAAGCCUCCUGGACCAUCACAGAUGCUUACAGUGGAGGAAGACAGCAAUGUCAGACCUCUGAACCCAAGCAUGCACGUAUUCAUCCAGAUUGCCUGAAGUAACUGAAGAAUGACAAAAGAAGUGAAAAUGGCCAGUUCCUGCCUUAAUUGAUGACA
rnacentral:lncRNA from 1 species